CAGUUGUUUACUUUGUUACAGCUUGUGACGCAGACGUCUGAGUUUUAUAAAUAACAUUCAAAUAAAUAUGUUGUUGCGUCGCGUUUGUCGUUGGACUUUUAAAUGAAGUUUCUUUCUAAUGUUCGUGAACGUGAGUAGUGGAGUUUUAUUUCAAACCGAACAUUAUUAUGAUCCUCACUGAUGAUCUGGACUUCACUAUGAACGGACUGGUCAGUUUAUUCAUAUAUUUAUUCAUAUUUGUUGAUGCUCUUAUGAUAUUGAAUCACCUGCUCCACUGUAGACGCACAGUAACUUUAUUGUAACCAAACCCCAUUGACAAAAACAACAAUUUAGAUUAUAAUAACCCAUGUAGACCGUCAUCAUUACAAUGGUUCAUUUGAUCUUCACAUACAGUGAUUAAUCAUGUUCAAUUAUUCGGUUAAAGGUUUUUCUUGUCUUAUCAUGUUUGUAUGCCUCCAAACGUACAAAAUAUUGUCAUUUUAAAAAUGUCACUUUGAAUUAACAUCUUCAUAGGCAGUAAAUCAUUAAGUGUGUUGAUUCUUCUCCAAAUAACACUUAACACAACUGUUUCUUUAUUACAUUUCUAGGUCUCAUUUAAAAAUAGUGACCAAACUGAGGACACUAAAAGUAAUUUUAGAAAGAAUGACUUGAGUGUAAGGUGAAGCACAUUUUAGUUUGUUAUUAUUUCAAUCCAAGACAUUUUUAGUCAAUUCAAUAUUUUCUCUUUACUGCUAAUUCAAAGAUUUAAAUAUCUUUGCAUUAGCAGUGACUUUAUCAUAUUUUUCAUUAUUUAAUGCAUGACGUAUUUUUUGAUCUUUAGGAUCUUUGGGCGUCUUAGGUGUUUAUUUAGAUUUUUAACUCGAUGCCAAACCUACAAAACAAAUCUUACUAAAGAUCUCUGUCUAAAUAAAGUCACAGAAAUGUGUUUGUGGUUGAAACAAAAACAUGAUCAAAUUAGUCUCAUAUCAAAUGAUCUUUUCCCUCCAGUCUCCACCGAACAAGACAAGAGAACUGAUCGGUGAAGCAGGAAUCUCGUUCUUAAACGCAUUGAGUAUGGUCUUUAUUUUCUGAUCCAGUCUCUGAUUCAGUCUCCGAUCCGGUGUGAUAUGAAGUUUAGAAUAUUUCAGUUAUAAUUCCAGUUUCAGAGAAAUUAAAUCAUACGUCACCUUCAAUCUCAGAUCAUUCAAAUGAAGCUGGAUUUGUGUUUUUCGAGGCGUUUUCUUUCCCUCAGUUUGUUGCCAGCCCCCUGUGCUGUCCCAGUCGAGCCAGCAUCCUGACGGGGAAAUAUCCACACAACCACCGCGUCACCAACAACACGUUAGAGGGAAAGUGCAGCAGCAGAGCAUGGCAACAGAGCGACGAGGCUCACACUUUUCCCGCCAUUCUCAAACACGCCGCACAAUACCAGACUUUCUUUGCUGGGAAAUAUCUCAACCAGGUUUGGUUGAGGUGUUUGACUCACUGUGUGCGUGUGUUUCAGUACGGACACUCGGAGGCUGAAGGAUUGAAGCACGUUCCUCCAGGCUGGAGCUACUGGGUCGGACUGGUGGCAGACUCUGCUGUCAGUGGAUGAUCUGGUGGAGAAACUGGUGAAGACGUUAGAGGUCAGAGGUGAACUGGACAACACUUACAUCUUCUUUACCUCAGAUAAUGGUUAUCACACGGGUAACUCAGCUCUUUGUUAUAAAGCCAUGAUUCAAUCACAACAUGAAUGAAUGAAAUGUAGAAAAGUAACUUUGUGUUUGUUUCAGGUCAGUUUUCUCUUCCUGUGGAUAUAAGACAACUUUAAUCCUGUGUUUCCUCAGUAUAAAGUGAAUCUGUGUUAAUCCUGUGUUUCCUCACAUUUGAAGUGACUCUGUGUUAAUCCUGUGUUUCCUCAGGUUUAAAGUGAAUCUGUGUUAAUCCUGUGUUUCCUCAGGUUUAUAGUGAAUCUGUGUUUAUCCUGUGUUUCCUCAGGUUUAAAUUUGAUCCUGGUCAGAUGUUCCUCCGUCACAAAUUACGCAGAUUACUCCGACAAACAUGAUGAAAUGUUGUCACUCACUUUUUUCAGGAUGAAUGGAUGAAGAGUCACAUGACUGUAUUAUUGUUCUGUUUAUUUCAAGUUCUACAAUUUUUUUUUAAAAAAAGAAAAAAGAACAAAAAAGAAUUUUUAUUUGUUGUUUUUUGCAAGUGGAAAUUCAUCAUUCAUUCAUUCAUCCAUUUUUACUUUUAAUACAUAAAUUAUUAUAAGUAAAAUAGUUAGAAUUAUAAAUCAAAGUGGUCUUACCUUAUAUUAUUGGUCUAAACAAACAUUUCCAUCAUAGUUUUAUGAAUGAAUUGUUGUUGUGUUUCCAGUUCAUUUCCAUGUACAGUUUGAGUUAAAUGCACUAAGGAAAUGUUCAUGUGUUCAUUUUGAAUGAAUUGUGAUUUAAAGAC